AUUGAACGCUGGCGGCAUGCCUUACACAUGCAAGUCGAACGGCAGCACGGGAGCAAUCCUGGUGGCGAGUGGCGAACGGGUGAGUAAUGUAUCGGAACGUACCUUUCAGUGGGGGAUAACGUAGCGAAAGUUACGCUAAUACCGCAUAUUCUGUGAGCAGGAAAGCAGGGGGUCGCAAGACCUUGCGCUGAUUGAGCGGCCGAUAUCAGAUUAGCUAGUUGGUGAGGUAAAGGCUCACCAAGGCGACGAUCUGUAGCGGGUCUGAGAGGAUGAUCCGCCACACUGGAACUGAGACACGGUCCAGACUCCUACGGGAGGCAGCAGUGGGGAAUUUUGGACAAUGGGCGCAAGCCUGAUCCAGCCAUGCCGCGUGAGUGAAGAAGGCC
rnacentral:rRNA from 1 species